rnacentral:sRNA from 2 species
CCUUUACUCUUUGGGGAGUAGCCUCCCCGCGGCCAGUUCCGCGGGGGCUUGCGUCAACAUUCUUGGCUACUCCGGCCAUGGCGCAAGCGGCAUUCACGCUUGGCGAGACCACGGAUUUUUCGCGCGACGCUGGGCGGCGCGGAGGAUCCGUGCCGUUUCCGCCCAGUUGGAUCUU